AACGUAGGUGGCGAGCGUUAUCCGGAUUUACUGGGCGUAAAGGGUGUGCAGGCGGGGCGAUCAGUGGUGUAUGAAAGAUUCCGGCUCAACCGGGAAGGGUUAUGCCAGACUGUCGUUCUAGAGGGCGAGAGAGGGACGUGGAAUUCCGGGUGUAGUGGUGAAAUGCGUAGAGAUCCGGAGGAACCCCAGAGGCGAAGGCGGCGUCCUGGCUCGCAUCUGACGCUCAGACACGACAGCAUGGGGAGCGAACGGG
rnacentral:rRNA from 1 species